CAGUAGCCGCGGUAAUACGGAGGGGGCUAGCGUUGUUCGGAAUUACUGGGCGUAAAGCGCACGUAGGCGGCUUUGUAAGUCAGAGGUGAAAGCCCGGGGCUCAACCCCGGAAUUGCCUUUGAGACUGCAUCGCUUGAAUCCAGGAGAGGUGAGUGGAAUUCCGAGUGUAGAGGUGAAAUUCGUAGAUAUUCGGAAGAACACCAGUGGCGAAGGCGGCUCACUGGACUGGUAUUGACGCUGAGGUGCGAAAGCGUGGGGAGCAAACAGGAUUAGAUACCCGCGUAGUCCCUGUCUCUUAUAC
rnacentral:rRNA from 1 species